rnacentral:rRNA from 1 species
UACAGAGGGUGCGAGCGUUGUUCGGAAUUAUUGGGCGUAAAGGGCGCGUAGGCGGUGCGGUAAGUCACCUGUGAAAUCUCCUGGCUCAACUGGGAGGGUGCGCCGAAUACUGAGUGACUCGAGUGCGGGAGAGGAGAGUGGAAUUCCUGGUGUAGCGGUGAAAUGCGUAGAUAUCAGGAGGAACACCCGUGGCGAAGGCGGCUCUCUGGGACGGUACUGACGCUGAGACGCGAAAGCGUGGGGAGCGAACAGG